CCUUUCAUAAAUAAAUACAAUGUCUAUAGACUCUAUACUUCUACAAAUCACCUCAUUACUGGGUGCAAACUCUUCCUCAUACUGUACAGUGACGAUGACACAUACUUUUUUUUUGUUUUUGGUUUAAAAAAAAAUGUCUAGCAGCAGAAAUGUCUUGAAAAACUAGCCACAUAUAUUUUGUUGACACGAAAAGAAGCUAAUCUAAGCUUGAUGACCGGCUCCAUCUUCCUUUCAAGUAUUCUUCCGAGGAAGUUCCGCUGCUUUGCUCCCCACUGCUGAGCGAUGGGGAGGUGUCUUCUGUGUCAAGCAAUGCAAGGAUCAAAUGAGUCUGCACUUGAAUGGUGAUAAACUUCAUCGUCAGUAUUUUCCUUGCUUUC